rnacentral:tRNA from 1 species
GCAUUGGUGAUUCAAUGGUAGAAUUCUCACCUUGCAUGCUUGAUACCAGGGUACAAUUCCCAGCCAAUGCA